AAAAAAUCUUAGGACCUUAUUGGCCUCCUUUAUGUGAAGUUUCACUGGAAUGAGAAAUAUUGUGAACCUUAUUCCUUGAACUUCUAUUGUCAAUAGUAUUUUGAAAUGAAGAUAUGGGGUGUUCUAGUGAUUGUUGUCACCUCAAUCAAGAUGAGGUUAUGUGGUUAUGAUUACUUAUAUUAAGCAGGUCAACUUGAUGAGGUGCAUGCCUCAUUCCUCCACAGCAUAUCACAGAAUUUUUGAAGAGAA
rnacentral:misc_RNA from 1 species